GACGAACGCUGGCGGCGUGCCUAAUACAUGCAAGUAGAACGCACAGUUUAUACCGUAGCUUGCUACACCAUAGACUGUGAGUUGCGAACGGGUGAGUAACGCGUAGGUAACCUGCCUGGUAGCGGGGGAUAACUAUUGGAAACGAUAGCUAAUACCGCAUAAUAUUAAUUAUUGCAUGAUAAUUGAUUGAAAGAUGCAACUGCAUCACUACCAGAUGGACCUGCGUUGUAUUAGCUAGUAGGUGAGGUAACGGCUCACCUAGGCGACGAUACAUAGCCGACCUGAGAGGGGGAUCGGCCACACUGGGACUGAGACACGGCCCAGACUCCUACGGGAGGCAGCAGUAGGGAAUCUUCGGCAAUGGACGAAAGUCUGACCGAGCAACGCCGCGUGAGUGAAGAAGGUUUUCGGAUCGUAAAGCUCUGUUGUAAGAGAAGAACGGGUGUGAGAGUGGAAAGUUCACACUGUGACGGUAGCUUACCAGAAAGGGACGGCUAACUACGUG
rnacentral:rRNA from 1 species